rnacentral:rRNA from 1 species
GUGGGGAAUAUUGGACAAUGGGCGAAAGCCUGAUCCAGCCAUGCCGCGUGUGUGAAGAAGGUCUUCGGAUUGUAAAGCACUUUGAGUUGGGAGGAAGGGCAGUAAGUUAAUACCUUGCUGUUUUGACGUUACCAACAGAAUAAGCACCGGCUAACUUCGUGCCAGCAGCCGCGGUAAUACGAAGGGUGCAAGCGUUAAUCGGAAUUACUGGGCGUAAAGCGCGCGUAGGUGGUUCAGCAAGUUGAAGGUGAAAUCCCCGGGCUCAACCUGGGAACUGCCUCCAAAACUACUGAGCUAGAGUACGGUAGAGGGUAGUGGAAUUUCCUGUGUAGCGGUGAAAUGCGUAGAUAUAGGAAGGAACACCAGUGGCGAAGGCGACUACCUGGACUGAUACUGACACUGAGGUGCGAAAGCGUGGGGAGCAAACAGGAUUAGAAACCCGUGUAGUCC